rnacentral:rRNA from 1 species
AGAGUUUGAUCCUGGCUCAGGACGAACGCUGGCGGCGUGCUUAACACAUGCAAGUCGAACGGAAAGGCCCUUCGGGGUACUCGAGUGGCGAACGGGUGAGUAACACGUGGGUGAUCUGCCCUGCACUUUGGGAUAAGCCUGGGAAACUGGGUCUAAUACCGAAUAUGACCAUGCGCCUCCUGGUGUGUGGUGGAAAGCUUUUGCGGUGUGGGAUGGGCCCGCGGCCUAUCAGUUUGUUGGUGGGGUAAUGGCCUACCAAGGCGACGACGGGUAGCCGGCCUGAGAGGGUGACCGGCCACACUGGGACUGAGAUACGGCCCAGACUCCUACGGGAGGCAGCAGUGGGGAAUAUUGCACAAUGGGCGCAAGCCUGAUGCAGCGACGCCGCGUGAGGGAUGACGGCCUUCGGGUUGUAAACCUCUUUCAGCACAGACGAAGCGCAAGUGACGGUAUGUGCAGAAGAAGGACCGGCCAACUACGUGCCAGCAGCCGCGGUAAUACGUAGGGUCCGAGCGUUGUCCGGAAUUACUGGGCGUAAAGAGCUCGUAGGUGGUUUGUCGCGUUGUUCGUGAAAACUCACAGCUUAACUGUGGGCGUGCGGGCGAUACGGGCAGACUUGAGUACUGCAGGGGAGACUGGAAUUCCUGGUGUAGCGGUGGAAUGCGCAGAUAUCAGGAGGAACACCGGUGGCGAAGGCGGGUCUCUGGGCAGUAACUGACGCUGAGGAGCGAAAGCGUGGGGAGCGAACAGGAUUAGAUACCCUGGUAGUCC